rnacentral:rRNA from 1 species
UACAGAGGGUGCGAGCGUUAAUCGGCAUUACUGGGCGUAAAGCGUGCGUAGACGGUCAUGUAAGUCGGGUGUGAAAGCCCCGGGCUCAACCUGGGAAUUGCAUUCGAGACUGCAUGGCUAGGGUGCGGAAGAGGGAAGCGGAAUUUCCGGUGUAGCGGUGAAAUGCGUAGAUAUCGGAAGGAACACCAGUGGCGAAAGCGGCUUCCUGGUCCAGCACCGACGUUCAGGCACGAAAGCGUGGGGAGCAAACAGG